UACGUAGGGCGCAAGCGUUGUCCGGAAUUAUUGGGCGUAAAGGGUGCGUAGGCGGCGGGGUAAGUCUGAUGUGAAAUCCCGGAGCUCAACUCCGGAACUGCAUUGGAUACUGCCUUGCUUGAGUACUGGAGAGGGAACUGGAAUUUACGGUGUAGCAGUGAAAUGCGUAGAGAUCGUAAGGAAGGCCAGUGGCGAAGGCGAGUUCCUGGACAGUUACUGACGCUGAGGCACGAAGGCCAGGGGAGCAAACGGG
rnacentral:rRNA from 1 species